UACGGGGGGGGUAAGCGUUGUUCGGAAUUACUGGGCGUAAAGGGCUCGUAGGCGGCCAACUAAGUCAUACGUGAAAUCACUCAGCUUAACUGGGGGACUGCGUGUGAUACUGGAUGGCUUGGAUUUGGGAGAGGGAUGCGGAAUUCCAGGUGUAGCGGUGAAAUGCGUAGAUAUCUGGAGGAACACCGGUGGCGAAGGCGGCAUCCUGGACCAAUAUUGACGCUGAGGAGCGAAAGCCAGGGGAGCAAACGGG
rnacentral:rRNA from 1 species